rnacentral:rRNA from 1 species
GAUGAACGCUGGCGGCGUGCCUAAUACAUGCAAGUCGAGCGAACAGACGAGGAGCUUGCUCCUUCGACGUUAGCGGCGGACGGGUGAGUAACACGUAGGUAACCUACCUAUAAGACUGGGAUAACUUCGGGAAACCGGAGCUAAUACCGGAUAAUAUUUCGAACCGCAUGGUUCGAUAGUGAAAGAUGGCUUUGCUAUCACUUAUAGAUGGACCUGCGCCAUAUUAGCUAGUUGGUAAGGUAACGGCUUACCAAGGCAACGAUACGUAGCCGACCUGAGAGGGUGAUCGGCCACACUGGAACUGAGACACGGUCCAGACUCCUACGGGAGGCAGCAGUAGGGAAUCUUCCGCAAUGGGCGAAAGCCUGACGGAGCAACGCCGCGUGAGUGAUGAAGGUCUUCGGAUCGUAAAACUCUGUUAUUAGGGAAGAACAAACGUGUAAGUAACUGUGCACGUCUUGACGGUACCUAAUCAGAAAGCCACGGCUAACUACGUG